rnacentral:rRNA from 1 species
GUGAGGAAUAUUGGUCAAUGGGCGAAAGCCUGAACCAGCCAUGUCGCGUGAAGGAUGAAGGUCCUAUGGAUUGUAAACUUCUUUUGCAGGAGGGUAAAGUGAGCUACGUGUAGUUCAUUGCAAGUACCCUGCGAAUAAGCAUCGGCUAACUCCGUGCCAGCAGCCGCGGUAAUACGGAGGAUGCGAGCGUUAUCCGGAUUUAUUGGGUUUAAAGGGUGCGUAGGCGGACUAAUUAGUCAGCGGUGAAAUUUUGCGGCUCAACCGUAAAACUGCCGUUGAAACUGUUAGUCUUGAGUGCGGUAGAGGUAGGCGGAAUGUGUGGUGUAGCGGUGAAAUGCUUAGAUAUCACACAGAACACCGAUUGCGUAGGCAGCUUACUGGAGCGCAACUGACGCUGAGGCACGAAAGCGUGGGGAUCGAACAGGAUUAGAAACCCCUGUAGUCC